rnacentral:rRNA from 1 species
UACGAAGGGGGCUAGCGUUGUUCGGAUUUACUGGGCGUAAAGCGCACGUAGGCGGAUCGUUAAGUCAGGGGUGAAAUCCUGGAGCUCAACUCCAGAACUGCCUUUGAUACUGGCGAUCUCGAGUCCGGAAGAGGUGAGUGGAACUCCUAGUGUAGAGGUGGAAUUCGUAGAUAUUAGGAAGAACACCAGUGGCGAAGGCGGCUCACUGGUCCGGUACUGACGCUGAGGUGCGAAAGCGUGGGGAGCAAACAGG